rnacentral:lncRNA from 1 species
GAAGGGAGAGAGAGAGAGAGAGAGAGAGAGAGAGAGAGAGAGAGAAGCCUUCCAUUCACUGACUCACUCCGAAAAUGGCUGCAACACCCAGGUCUGCACCAGCCCAAAGCCAGGAACUAGGAACUCCAUCCUAGUGUCCUACAUGUGUGGCAACGGCCCAAGUCCUUGGGCCAUCAUUUGCUACUCCCAGGAUGCAUUAGCAGGAAGCUGGAUCAGGAGAGCCGGAACUCUAAUUGGUACCUUGACAGGGGAUGCCAUUGUGGCAAGCAGUGGCUUAACCUGCUAUGCCACAAUGCUGGCCUUGAUACAAUGGAAUUCUAUUCAGUCCUAACAAGGAAUGAAACUCUGAUACAUGCCAUGGAUGAUACUACCCUGAGUGAAAUAAGGCAUAAUAGACCAAUAUUGUAUUAUUCUACUGAUAUGAGGCACCUAAAGUAGUCAGACUCAUAGCGACAGAAAGUAGAACAGUGGUUGCCAAAGACAUGGGGAGUGAGGAGUUGUGUUUAACGAGUCGAGUUCCAGCUGCAGCAAUGGAAAAAGUUCUAGAGAGGGGUGUGCAGAACAAUGCGGACAUACGUAAAAGCACUGAACUGUACACUUAAAAAUGGUGCCAAUGGUGAUCACUAUGUCACCACAAUAAAAAAAUGGAAAGAUGGUCAACAAGGUAAACUAUAUGCCAUCUCCCUUUUACAAAAUUUAAAAAAAAAAAAAAAAUGGGGAGGGGGGAGGGAGGUGUGUUAUUUCACAAACCCACUCGGAACUCGCCCAUCCACACCCUGCUCUCUGCCUGUCCCGCUCCCCGCUCCACACACCCUCGUUCCCGCUGGGUCAACGUGAAAAGCCAGCGGCCACUGGGACCCCCGGUCCCUGCGGUCACUUAAACCUGUCCACCGCGGCUCCGCGAGCGGCAGAACCGCUGAGUCACUCGUCGGGAACGCACAGAAAGCAAAGUGCGGACAGCUGAGGUCCCGCGGGGGCCGCGGCGGGCGCCCGCACCUGGACUUUCUCCCCUGGCCGGGACGACGACGCGGCUGCCCCCGCUGCCCCUGCCCGCCGGCGUCCAGCCUUCACCCUGCCCCUCCCGGCAGACGCCAGUCCAGCCCGGGGCGACGAGGAAGGAGGAAAAAACCGCAGUCAUAAAAACGCUACGGCCUGACGCGGGUCCGGGGGCCCCUGCGGGGCAGCAUCGAGCGAGGCAGGCGGCGCCCGGGGGCGCCCGGAGGACAGCGCCUCGCCCCCUGCCCCCGC